AACUCUCUCCCUAUGGCAUAGGGUACUAAUGAACUUCCUGUACCGAAUCACCCCCCAGAUGGUACUCAUGCCUCGUGUUCACGUGAUGGACGGGUGCAGAAGCAUUCCAAUGUUAAGUGACACGGAAGAGCAGGAGGUCUGGAAAGCCCCGCGGGUCACAGCCAAGAAUCUGAAGUCACAAAGAUUUACAACUACGUUCUCUCCUAAGAGUCUUGUGAUUGUUGCUGUUAGUCUCCUGCUCUGGUUCAUGUAGUUCAUCUUCGCUGCCAUAAGGCAGAGCUGUGCAUCACUCCAUUCUUGGUUUCACGUGGAUGACCAGCCAUCGUGUGAAAGCCUUUCCCAUUCUUCUGGAUAGCAAGUGGAUGAUGUGUUUCUGCACCACCCUCCACCCUGCCCUGGGCCCAGAAGGCCAAACUCUGUGGACCGUAUCAGCCACGCCCCCUUGUCCUUUGGCUCUGAGGGAUUCAGCCAGUAGGAGGCCCAGCAGGAAGGACCUGGAGGAUGGGAAGGAGGAGAAGCUGAAGUUCCUUCCAUGCCUUCGCAGCUCCCUCCCUCAGUGUGUUCAUUUUUAGAAGUCAAAUGACUGAUGUUCUCAUGGGAAGGAAGACCGAUGGAGCCCAUUUAAUGAUUUCAAUCAUUAACCUGCUGGAUGACCCCAAGUUUCCAUCAGCUUCAUGUCCCAAAAAUAUCACCAGGAGUCUGAAGAGCCAUUUUUCUCUGCAAAUCAAAGUCUGAAGAGAAGCACCUUGGCUGUCCACCUGCCGAGCGUGGGGCCCCUGUGCUACAAAUUAGAGGCGAUGCUUCUUUUUUACCAACACUCAGUGAUUUGUUACUGAGACUAUAACCCAACAUCAAAGCUAUCCUUGCCAAAUAACCCUGCAGUGUUUUCAAGCUAUGCAUUGAUUGAUAUCUGUGUUGUCCCUGAUGGCCUGUCCAGUUACAGACCAGUUCCAUUGAGAAAUGGAAUUAUACUGAUAAAGUAUAAUUGGUUACAUCAGCAUUUCUGGCAGUACCAAAUCUUACCAA